rnacentral:tRNA from 1 species
CGUGGGUGUAGCUCAGCUGGCAGAGCAUCUGUGCAGGAGUUGUGACGAAAUAUUAGGAAGGCGUUCGCGAAGUAAAAGGCCGAGUCCUCAGCCUUCCUCAUCUCCAUAAGCACGGAAGGUCGGUGGUUCAAAUCCACCCACCCCGACCA